rnacentral:sRNA from 1 species
GCUUAGCCCCGAUGGGAGCGGCAUCCUUUUAUGGCCUCGUCUUUUUAACGAGGCCAUAAAAGAUACAGCGGACAGCGGGACUGAAG